rnacentral:rRNA from 1 species
CCUACUGGAGGCAGCAGUGAGGAAUAUUGGUCAAUGGUCGGGAGACUGAACCAGCCAAGCCGCGUGAGGGAUGAAGGUACAGAGUAUCGUAAACCUCUUUUGUCUGGGAACAAAGACUGGGAUGUGUCCUCGGAUGAGUGUACCUGAUGAAAAAGCAUCGGCUAACUCCGUGCCAGCAGCCGCGGUAAUACGGAGGAUUCGAGCGUUAUCCGGAUUUAUUGGGUUUAAAGGGUGCGGAGGCUGUCUGUUAAGUCAGCGGUGAAAGUUCGGGGCUCAACCGCGGACGCGCAGUUGAACCUGGCAGUCUCGAGUUGGGGAGAGGUAUGCGGAAUGCGCGGUGUAGCGGUGAAAUGCAUAGAUAUCGCGAAGAACUCCGAUUGCGAAGGCAGCAUGCCGGCUCCACACUGACGCUGAGGCUCGAAAGCGUGGGUAUCGAACAGGAUUAGAUACCCUGGUAGUC